CUUGGGGAUUUCGUCUGAACUUGUGAUGUGUCAUGAGUGAUGCUGCGUGGUGGCUUCUUGGUGAAAUUUGGCAGGGAGAUAUUACGAGAAAAUGUGAAAGGUGUCCUACUGUCAACUAUUGUGUUGUAAAUCCUGGGAUCCUAAAAGGACAAUGACUAUGCAGUCAACAAGGUCCUUUGUUUGGUAACCUGUUGGCUGCUACCCUUGAAUAUCCCUUUUUACUUCCUAAAACAGGCCCUCUGUCUCUAAAAUCUAAUUUAAAAUUAUUGCCAUCCUAAUAAAUGUUCAUUCUGCCAACAGGGUAACUCCUUCACUACUUAUCAUGGACUUCAUCCAUUGGUGAAAACUGAUAAGAGAAAGCUGUAAUUCAAAACUGAUAGUUGUUAGAUGUCUAAGCCGGAAGCCUACUAUGGUUAUCGCUCUCGUAAUAACUGUU